CUACGGGAGGCUGCAGUGGGGAAUAUUGCACAAUGGAGGAAACUCUGAUGCAGCAACGCCGCGUGGAGGAUGACACUUUUCGGAGCGUAAACUCCUUUAUAUAGGAAGAUAAUGACGGUACUAUAUGAAUAAGCACCGGCUAACUCCGUGCCAGCAGCCGCGGUAAUACGGAGGGUGCAAGCGUUACUCGGAAUCACUGGGCGUAAAGAGCGUGUAGGCGGGUUAAUAAGUCAGAAGUGAAAUCCUAUGGCUCAACCAUAGAACUGCUUUUGAAACUGUUAACCUAGAGUGUGGGAGAGGUAGAUGGAAUUUCUGGUGUAGGGGUAAAAUCCGUAGAGAUCAGAAGGAAUACCGAUUGCGAAGGCGAUCUACUGGAACAUAACUGACGCUGAGACGCGAAAGCGUGGGGAGCAAACAGGAUUAGAUACCCCCGUAGUC
rnacentral:rRNA from 1 species